CAUACCAUCCUGAAUGCGCCUGAUCUCUUCUGAUCUUGGAAGCUAAGCAGGGUCAGGCCUAGUUAGUAUUGGAUAGGAGAAUAAUACAGGGU
rfam:Macaca mulatta chromosome 13, whole genome shotgun sequence.